rnacentral:lncRNA from 1 species
GGGGAAAGGCGGCGGGAGGGGCGGCGUUGCGGGGAGCCGCGCUGCGAGCGGGAGGCGGCCCCGGUUUGCGAGGGGGUCACCCCCUGCGCCCCCCCCCCCCACACACACACCUUGGUGGGUCACCCCCGCGUGGCUCACACACACACACACGCACACACCAACCUCAGGACACGCGCUCACGCUCGUGCUCUUUCUCCCUUUGUCCUUUAGCGCGUGUUGCUCUCGGGCACGAUUCCCGAUUCCCCCCGAGCGCACCUCUGCCACCACCGUGGCACCGCACUGCCCCCCUCUCCUCCCCCAUCAGAAAGGGACGGUGAAACGGCAGCCGGCCGGGAAGCACAGCGAGCAGAGCCAGACCUCAGCAGGCAUUCAUCCUUGUGCUAACGUUGCCUAACCAAGGGCACAGAGCAGAAGUCCUCGGAGCCAGAACCCAACGUCCCGGUUUUCCCCAUGCAGCCGAACCCGACUCCGAGAUGGGAGAGAAAGGGAGCACUGGCACAGGAGGGGGGGAAGCGGGGCUGCCCAUCUCUGCGUGUUCACAUGAGCAUCGAUGGAAGAGAAUAUUUCAGGACAGCGCGGUGAUAUAUGUGCACGUGCAUGGGUGUCUGACGGAGGAAUCUCCCUUGUCGCAAUUAGCUUGAGAGGAAAUCUAGUUAAUUAACUUUGUCUGUGGAGGCACUGCAGUGGGACAAGCAAGAACCAUCAGAAAAGCUUGCGAGGCAGAAACCACAGAGAAAGAGAAGGAAUGCAAUUACCUGAGGA